GAUGAACGCUGGCGGCGUGCCUAACACAUGCAAGUCGAACGAGCGAGAGAGAGCUUGCUUUCUCAAGCGAGUGGCGAACGGGUGAGUAACGCGUGAGGAACCUGCCUCAAAGAGGGGGACAACAGUUGGAAACGACUGCUAAUACCGCAUAAGCCCACAGCUCGGCAUCGAGCAGAGGGAAAAGGAGUGAUCCGCUUUGAGAUGGCCUCGCGUCCGAUUAGUUUGUUGGCGGGGUAACGGCCCACCAAGACUACGAUGGAUAGGGGUUCUGAGAGGAAGGUCCCCCACAUUGGAACUGAGACACGGUCCAA
rnacentral:rRNA from 1 species